AUGAAAUGAAACAAGAAAACAAAGAGGAAAAAAUGACCAACGAAAAGAGCCAAAUUCUCUCUUCUUCUUCUUUUCCUUUCGCUCAUUUCAUGCUUCCACUUCACUUCGUUCCAUUCCAUUAUAAAUGAGCGAAAUGAAAAGAGAAGAGGAAUUUGGUUCUUUUCCCUUCUUUCUCCUUCCCUUUCAUUUCAAUUAAAAACAAAUGAA
rnacentral:ribozyme from 1 species